rnacentral:rRNA from 1 species
UAGUGGUAGCCGCUAUUAUUGGGUCUAAAGGGUCCGUAGCCGGUUCGGUAAGUCCUCUGGGAAAUCUGGUUGCUUAACAAUCAGGCUGCCAAGGGAUACUGCCGAACUUGAGACCGGGAGAGGUAAGAGGUACUUCAGGGGUAGGAGUGAAAUCUUGUAAUCCCUGGGGGACCGUCUGUGGCGAAGGCGUCUUACCAGAACGGGUCUGACGGUGAGGGACGAAAGCUGGGGGCGCGAACCGGAUUAGAUACCCGGGUAGUCCCAGCCGUAAACGAUGCUCGCUAUGUGUCAGGUAUGGUGCGACCAUAUCUGGUGCCGUAGGGAAGCCGUGAAGCGAGCCACCUGGGAAGUACGGCCGCAAGGCUGAAACUUAAAGGAAUUGGCGGGGGAGCACUACAACGGGUGGAGCCUGCGGUUUAAUUGGAUUCAACGCCGGAAAUCUUACCGGGUGAGACAGCAACAUGAAGGUCAGGCUGAAGACCUUACCGGAUUCGCUGAGAGGAAGUGCAUGGCCGUCGUCAGUUCGUACUGUGAAGCAUCCUGUUAAGUCAGGCAACGAGCGAGACCCGUGCCCACAGUUGCCAGCAUACCCUUCGGGGUGAUGGGUACUUUGUGGGGACCGCCGCUGCUAAAGCGGAGGAAGGAGCGGGUUACGGUAGGUCAGUAUGCUCCGGAACUCCCGGGCUACACGCGGGCUACAAUGGUCGGGACAAUGGGAAUCAACACCGAAAGGUGAAGGCAAUCUCCUAAACCCGAUCGAAGUUCGGAUUGAGGGCUGCAACUCGCCCUCAUGAAGCUGGAAUCCGUAGUAAUCGCGCUUCAACACAGCGCGGUGAAUACGUCCCUGCUCCUUGCACACACCGCCCGUCAAACCACCUGAGUGAGGUUUGGAUGAGGAUCUUCCUGAUGGGGGAUUCGAAUCUGGGCUUCGCAAGGGGGGUUAAGUCGUAACAAGGUAGCCAA